GUGACUUUUAAUAAACAUGCAUUAAUGUCAUGAGUUAAAAAUUGAUAAUACAAUAGAUAACAGCUGAUAAAAUGACUAACAGCAAUAUAAUGCUCAAACAAAGGUCUUAUAGAGGCUAAAUAAAUUACAUUAGCAAAGAAAACUAACGUUAAACAAUUAAAUGUCUGAGUAACAGUACUUGCUCUCAUUGUCGAGCAGUGUUUUAUUUCAACAAUUGCAUUGCACUGGAGUCUUUGUUUAUUUUAAGACUAUAAAUAUUUAUUUUGUCAACUUAAUAAUAUAAUCUCGUUUUACUGCUAAUAAACAUCAGAGAUUAUAAGUAUAAAUUGUUUUGAUCUCUUUUAAUCUCUUGAUGGUGACUGAAAAUUAUAGAAAUAAAAAAUGAAGUUUGCGGAGCAUCUAUCAGCUCACAUUACUCCGGAAUGGAGAAAACAAUAUAUCAGUUAUGAGGAAAUGAAAGCUAUGCUCUAUGCAGCCGUCGAAGAAGCGCCGUCUGCAGAGAGUGUGGAACCAGAGGUUAUUUCACGGCACUUUGCUUCCUUUGAUGAAGUUUUUUUUACGUUUUGUGAUCGUGAAUUAAAAAAAAUUAACACAUUUUAUUCAGAAAAGUUAGCAGAGGCAACGAGAAAAUAUGCCGCGUUACAAAAUGAAUUAAAAACUGCCCUAGAUUUGCAGCAUGGCAGCCAUAAAAAUAAAGGAAAGCUAGCGAGUGCUAAAUUACCAGCACGGAAAAUUCGUGAAUUGAAAUUAGGAUUUUCAGAGUAUUAUUUAUCACUGAUAUUACUACAGAAUUAUCAAAAUUUAAAUUACACUGGGUUCAGGAAAAUUCUUAAAAAACAUGACAAGCUUUUAUCAGUAGAUACUGGAUCCAAGUGGCGAGUAGAAUGCGUGGAGACGAGUCAUUUUUACACAUCAAAAGACAUAGACAAAUUAAUCCACGACACCGAGGCUAAUGUCACAAAUGAAUUGGAAGGUGGUGACCGUCAACGGGCCAUGAAACGCCUGAGAGUUCCUCCACUGGGAGAACAUCAGAGUCCAUGGACGACUUUUAAAGUUGGAUUAUUUUCAGGAAGCUUUAUUAUAUUAUUCGUCGCAGUUGUACUUUCUGCAAUUUUCCACGAAGGACAAGAGAAUUUAAAAAUAGCAUUUCGGUUGUACAGAGGACCAUUGCUAAUAAUCCAAUUUUUAUUUCUAAUGGGAGUAAACGUCUACGGCUGGAGAUCAUCUGGAGUGAAUCAUGUGUUAAUAUUCGAGCUCGAUCCGCGUAAUCACUUAUCAGAGCAGCAUUUAAUGGAAUUAUCAGCGGUUUUAGGAGUCAUCUGGACUCUCAGUCUUCUAAGUUUUCUAUUCAGCGCUAGUUUGAGUAUUCCACCGUUCGUAAAUCCUCUGGUGCUUGUUUGCAUUAUGAUAGCAUUCAUUUUAAAUCCUCUAAAAAUAUUUCGCCACGAAGCGCGGUUCUGGUUACUGAGAAUAACAUGGAGAAUGAUAAUAGCGCCAUUUGCGUUUGUAAAUUUCGCGGACUUCUGGCUGGCUGAUCAAUUAAACAGUCUUGUAACACCGUUGCUGGACUUUCAUUUUUUAGUGUGUUUUUAUUUAACCAACGGCGAUUGGCUACAAGCUCACGACACUACGCAAUGCAUGUCCGGGUCGCUUAUCGUCAGGCCUAUUGUAAAUUGCCUCCCUGCGUGGUUUAGAUUCGCCCAGUGUCUCAGGCGUUACAAAGAUUCCAAAGAAGCUUUUCCGCAUUUAGCUAACGCAGGAAAAUAUUCAACAACUUUUUUAGUUGUCAUUUCAAAUACUCUGAGGUCUUAUUACGCAGAUCAGUAUAAAAGCAAUUGGGAAAAUCCGUGGCUUUGGUUUUGGUUAGCAAGCUGUAUUAUCAAUUCUAUUUACUCUUACACUUGGGAUAUAAAAAUGGAUUGGGGGUUGUUAGAUAGUAAUGCUGGAGAAAAUAAAUUUUUACGUGAAGAAGUUGUUUAUUCUUCAGGUAGCUUUUAUUACUUUGCCAUCAUUGAAGACUUUGUUUUGAGAUUUAUAUGGAUAGCAAGUUUUGUUUUAGUUGAUUUUAAAUAUGUUUCAAGUGAUUUGAUGACUUCUAUUGUUGCUCCUCUAGAAGUUUUUAGGAGAUUUGUUUGGAAUUUCUUCCGUCUAGAAAACGAGCAUCUUAACAAUUGCGGUAAAUUCCGAGCUGUGAGAGAUAUUUCGAUCGCACCGAUAGAAAGUUCAGAUCAGAUUCAAAUACUCAGAAUGAUGGAUGAUGAAAACGGAGUAGUAAAUAGAGGUAAACGCAAAGCCGGUGGUAAAAAACCUGGCAAAGAAGACAAGCGAGCGUUACUUAAAGAAGAAACUAUUGAUAUCGACGUCUCGAAUACCAGCUGAAACACGUGCUAUAUUAAAUUAUUGGAAAUGUAAAUCUGUAAAUUAUCUAGGUGAAUUCUUUUAUGCUAUUUGUUGAGUAGUGUAAUUAUAAUUAAUACUUUGCCAUCGGGUGCCUUUGUUUUUCUAAAUUUAUUAUAUUUUUUGAAGUUGGUUUUAUACGAUGACGUGCUUCCAUUGAGCGUUGUUUUGAAUUUAUAAUUUUUUUUAUCGAUUUUAGAAAAGCGAUUUAAUUAAAAAUUUUUUUUUUUUAAUUUAAUUAGUUGAACAAAAAUUAUUGAGGUUGAUUUGAGAAAAUUUUAGUUUCUAAGUUGGAACUGUUUUUUAUCAGUAUGAUGAGUGGCUAAUAUUAAGUAGUAUAAAUAACUUGCUUCAGCGAAUAUUAGUCAUUUUAAUUUGAUUAUUAAUU
rnacentral:misc_RNA from 1 species